rnacentral:rRNA from 1 species
ACAAUGAAGAGUUUGAUCCUGGCUCAGGAUGAACGCUAGCGGCAGGCUUAACACAUGCAAGUCGAGGGGCAGCACGAGGUAGCAAUACUUUGGUGGC